rnacentral:rRNA from 1 species
CCAUGCAAGUCGAACGGUGAACACGGAGCUUGCUCUGUGGGAUCAGUGGCGAACGGGUGAGUAACACGUGAGCAACCUGCCCCUGACUCUGGGAUAAGCGCUGGAAACGGCGUCUAAUACUGGAUACGAACCAUGAAGGCAUCUUCAGUGGUUGGAAAGAUUUAUUGGUUGGGGAUGGGCUCGCGGCCUAUCAGCUUGUUGGUGAGGUAAUGGCUCACCAAGGCGUCGACGGGUAGCCGGCCUGAGAGGGUGACCGGCCACACUGGGACUGAGACACGGCCCAGACUCCUACGGGAGGCAGCAGUGGGGAAUAUUGCACAAUGGGCGCAAGCCUGAUGCAGCAACGCCGCGUGAGGGAUGACGGCCUUCGGGUUGUAAACCUCUUUUAGCAGGGAAGAAGCGAAAGUGACGGUACCUGCAGAAAAAGCGCCGGCUAACUACGUGCCAGCAGCCGCGGUAAUACGUAGGGCGCAAGCGUUAUCCGGAAUUAUUGGGCGUAAAGAGCUCGUAGGCGGUUUGUCGCGUCUGCUGUGAAAUCCGGAGGCUCAACCUCCGGCCUGCAGUGGGUACGGGCAGACUAGAGUGCGGUAGGGGAGAUUGGAAUUCCUGGUGUAGCGGUGGAAUGCGCAGAUAUCAGGAGGAACACCGAUGGCGAAGGCAGAUCUCUGGGCCGUAACUGACGCUGAGGAGCGAAAGGGUGGGGAGCAAACAGGCUUAGAUACCCUGGUAGUCCACCCCGUAAACGUUGGGAACUAGUUGUGGGGUCCAUUCCACGGAUUCCGUGACGCAGCUAACGCAUUAAGUUCCCCGCCUGGGGAGUACGGCCGCAAG